CAACAAGAUGGCGGACGAGAGAGACAGGGAAAGCACAGAAAUAGCAGUAGCAGAAUUGCACAAAAAAAUCAAAGAAGCUUUUGAAGUGUUUGACCAAGAGUCAAAUAAUACAGUGGAUGUGAGAGAGAUCGGGACAAUUAUCAGGUCAUUAGGAUGCUGCCCUAGUGAAGGAGAGCUACACGAUCUGAUUGCAGAGGUAGAGGAAGAAGAACCCACUGGAUACUUUUGGUAUGAAAAAUUUCUUCCAGUGAUGACUGAAGUUCUACUGGAAAGAAGAUACAGACCAAUUCCAGAAGAUAUCCUUCUUCGAGCUUUUGGGGUAUUAGAUCCAGCUAAACGUGGGUUUCUUUCUAAGGAAGAGCUGAUCAAGUAUAUGACUGAAGAAGGUGAGCCCUUUUCUCAGGAGGAAAUGGAAGAAAUGUUGUCUGCUGUAAUUGAUCCAGAAUCGAAUACAAUUCAUUACAAGGACUACAUAGCAAUGAUGGUGAUAGAUGAAAAUUAAGCACUAAAGACUUCAUUUCUAAUUGAAAGGAUAAUUUUAAAAAUUACUUGACCUUGUUAAUUUCACAUUUUAUCUUAUAAUUCCUAUAUAUGCUGAUUAAUGCCUUGUGACAACUACUUCAAUAUAUUUUGUUUUUUAAAGAUAAUCAUAACAAUUUAAAACAAAUUUAUUUAGUGUGUUUAGCCUUAUGGAAUGACAAAUUGCUAAUUAUUUUAAAACUGUUCUUAAAACAUUUUAACAUUAUCCAUGGACUGUUGUUAACAUUCUCCAAUAAAACCCAGAUUACUUUCAAAUUAAAAAAAAAAAAAA